rnacentral:rRNA from 1 species
CCCGGGCCUUGUACACCACCGCCCGUCACACCACGAAAGUUGGUAACACCCGAAGCCAGUGGCCCAACCAUUUGGAGGGAGCUGUCGAAGGUGGGACCAGCGAUUGGGGUG